CGCGCAGGCGGCCUGGUAAGUCAGAUGUGAAAGCCCGGGGCUCAACCUCGGAAGUGCAUUUGAUACUACUUGGCUUGAGUAUGGGAGAGGAAAGUGGAAUUCCUGGUGUAGAGGUGAAAUUCGUAGAUAUCAGGAGGAACACCGGUGGCGAAGGCGACUUUCUGGACCAAUACUGACGCUGAGACGCGAAAGCUAGGGGAGCGAACG
rnacentral:rRNA from 1 species